ensembl:lncRNA
GGCUACUAGAAAAUGUUAAUUAACUCUUAGACAUGUUCACAUUAUUCCUAUCAGGCAGUGCCCCUGGCUAGCAUUACUAGGUGCUCCGUACACAGCUGGGAGCUGCAGACCUUUUCCUGGUAAACAGCUCCUCCAAAGUGAAAGUGAGUAAAUACCAGGUUCUGGGGCUGGGCUGCCUCACAGGUCACUGUCCCCAGGUGUAAACAGCUGAUAACAGCUUAAACUGCAGGCAUUCCCUGAGGAGAUGCACACUGUAAUUGCAACUUUCUAGCCAGCAGACAAACACAGGCUUUUUAAUCCAGCCUUGUGACCUUCCAGAAGAAAAUUUCUCUUAGAAAUCAAAAGUGGGGGAGAAGGGACAACAAAACGGCCUUGGGCAUCCCCUGGCUCACAGCCUGACCCGGCAUUGAGGAAAACACACUUUUUAGUAACAGAGCUUCUCCCAAGGCCAUUGAACAUAUGGAGUGACACUCAAAAUGAACCAGUAUGUCAUGUCAGCAAGAAGCAUCUCCUGAAAGGGC